rnacentral:rRNA from 1 species
UACGUAGGGUGCAAGCGUUGUCCGGAAUUAUUGGGCGUAAAGAGCUCGUAGGCGGUCUGUCGCGUCGGCUGUGAAAUCCCGGGGCUCAACCCCGGGCCUGCAGUCGAUCCGGGCAGACUAGAGUGCGGUAGGGGAGACUGGAAUUCCUGGUGUAGCGGUGAAAUGCGCAGAUAUCAGGAGGAACACCGGUGGCGAAGGCGGGGCCCUGGGCCGUAACUGACGCUGAGGAGCGAAAGCGUGGGGAGCAAACAGG